CUCAAUGUCGUUUCUUGGAGUCAAUUGGAGUGGGAAAGAUACAGAGAAGAUUAGCAUGGCCCAUGCUCAAGGAAGACGGCUGCAUAUUCAUCAACACUCACCCUGCUA
rnacentral:snRNA from 1 species